CUCUUGUGCAGGGCGAGCGCCCUGUGUCUCUGCUUCACCUCGGGGCUUUUCUUGGCCCUUCGGCGCGCAGAGACCUCGCAUUGUGGAAGCGAGAGGCGGACAGGCCAGGGGGCUGGAUGCCACCAGUAUCCCCCCGGAGGGGAGGGGGAGCGAUCCCUGGGCCGGCAGAGGAGGAAAAGCGCAGUGGAAACCCCAACACUGGCCACUCCCUUGCGCCAGACCUGGGACAGUCGGAGUCCCCGGGUGGCAUCUGCCUCGCCUCCAGCACAGAGGCGGCGCGCGCGUCGGUGAUUCACACGUCUGGGUUUCAGGCGGCCAGCUCCUGAGGGAGGAACGGUUCGAUUUUCCCGUCCCGCUUUUCUUUAGACACACAGAGGGAAACCUGCUGUACUACUUGAAGUAAUCUACUUCCCCUUGGGCCAGGUAAAGAAUGAAAUUGAAACACACAAGAAGAGAACUCAUUUCAUAUAUAUGGCAGCUUUCUUUAUUGAUUGCUUGAUGUGAAACAAUAUCAAUUGACAAUUUUUUCUCACGCAUUACAAAAAAAUAUUAAACUUGGCUCAGUCUGCAAUCCUUUCAGCACAGCCAUAUUAAUUAACAGAAAAAGAAAAAAAAACCAGAAACAAACAAAAAAAAACCCUAAAAGUCUACCAAAUAGAGCAUUUACAAAUGCACAAAACAUGCCACUUUGGCUUUAUGGGGAAAAAUAUCUUCUUCUAGAUUAAAAAAAUCUUUUAACAUAAAUAAGUUAGUAUAAUUUCUCAGUGUCUUUACAAAGUUAUGUACACAGGUACACUUCAAACUUAUGUUUUUAUUUUUACAUACAGAUACACAGGCAAUGUAGAAAUACUUUUUAAAGAUGUAGUGUCCCUUUUCAUGCACUCAUGAACAUCAGGGAAAAGAGAUCAGAAAUCAACAAUAUUUUAUUUUGGAAUAUGAACUCCCCAGAUGCAUUUGAAAAUAUCCAGAUGUUAUGGGUAAUAGUUAUAGUCAGUGGAACUACUCUAAAAUUCUUUAGUUUAUCCUAAGAGAUUUCGGGAGUUGCAGGACAUAAAAAUCCUUUUCCUGCUACAUAACGGAAUCAGAGUUCCCACCUCUUAAGCUUAACACAGUAAGUAGAAAUUCACAGAGGGUAACAGUCUCCUGUAGCCAGUGCUAGCAUUAUGGUGUAUUUUUUUAAAAGAUAUCAUAGAUCCCACUUACAGGGACAAUACAUCUUUAAUUUUUUUUAAAGAACCUCUACACUGCUUCUCUUCAUAAAUUUCCCUGCUUGCUAGAUUGUAAAAGCAAGUUUCAAUUGGUCACCCUUUUCCAUCCCCUCCCCCCAUCCCUACAAAUGUUUAUGUGCUACAUAAAGUAAAAACUAUAUACACAGGUAGUACAAUAAAGCAAAUAAGGAAAAACCUAAUUGCACAAUGCUACAUCCAAUGCUUUUAGAGGCAGGUCUUUUAAGAGUGCCUAAAAUUUUAGUGUUAUUGUUUUUUUGUUUUUUUGUUUUUUUCAGUGCUUGUACAGGAUCUCCAUCCCAUGGAGAAUCAACGAUAUGUAUUUUAAUUUUAUAUAUAUUUAUAUAUAUAUAACUUUACAUCUUCCUCCCUUCAUCAACCACUGAGGCAUCCGAUGAACAAGGAAAUGUAUAUUCUUAAUUCU